UACGGGGGGGGUAAGCGUUGUUCGGAAUUACUGGGCGUAAAGGGCUCGUAGGCGGCCAACUAAGUCGGACGUGAAAUCCCUCAGCUUAACUGGGGAACUGCGUCCGAUACUGGAUGGCUUGGAUUUGGGAGAGGGAUGCGGAAUUCCAGGUGUAGCGGUGAAAUGCGCAGAUAUCAGGAGGAACACCGGUGGCGAAGGCGGAUCUCUGGGCCAUUACUGACGCUGAGGAGCGAAAGCGUGGGGAGCGAACAGG
rnacentral:rRNA from 1 species